CGUGACCCACAAACUACAAGAUCGAGGAGCCCCCAGAAAUGCAGACCCUCUGGACAUAUGGCUGCAGCAGCAUGGCGUGUGAUCUGGAUGGUCAUGUCAGGCUCCACCGUCGCAGAUUACUAGACGGACCAAAUGAGGCCAAAAACUAGCCUUUCCUCGCUCCUUUCCUGGGAAGUGAAAUAGCAGGGGAUCAUGUAAGAAUGAACUUGCAACAUGUGAGCAGUAGCCAAAGCUCCAUACAGGUGAUGCUGGUGGU
rnacentral:lncRNA from 1 species